ACUAACAGGAUUCCCCUAGUAACUGCGAGUGAAGCGGGAAAAGCUCAAAUUUAAAAUCUGGCGGUCUUUGGCCGUCCGAGUUGUAAUUUAGAGAAGUGUUAUCCGCGCUGGACCGUGUACAAGUCUCCUGGAACGGAGCGUCGUAGAGGGUGAGAAUCCCGUCUUUGACACGGACCACCAGUGCUUUGUGAUGCGCUCUCGAAGAGUCGAGUUGUUUGGGAAUGCAGCUCAAAAUGGGUGGUAAAUUCCAUCUAAAGCUAAAUAUUGGCGAGAGACCGAUAGCGAACAAGUACCGUGAGGGAAAGAUGAAAAGAACUUUGGAAAGAGAGUUAAACAGUACGUGAAAUUGUUGAAAGGGAAACGCUUGAAGUCAGUCGCGUUGUCCGGGGAUCAACCUUGCAUUCGUGCUUGGCGUACUUCCCGGUCGACGGGUCAGCAUCAAUUUUGACCGCUGGAUAAAGGUCAGGGGAAUGUGGCAUCCUCGGAUGUGUUAUAGCCUCUGGCUGCAUACAGUGGUUGGGAUUGAGGAACUCAGCACGCCGCAAGGCCGGGUUUUUAACCACGUACGUGCUUAGGAUGCUGGCAUAAUGGCUUUAAUCGACCCGUCUUGAAACACGGACCAAGGAGUCUAACAUGCCCGCGAGUGUUUGGGUGGAAAACCCGAGCGCGUAAUGAAAGUGAAAGUUGAGAUCUCUGUCGUGGAGAGCAUCGACGCCCGGACCAGACCUUCUGUGACGGAUCCGCGGUAAAGCGUGUAUGUUGGGACC
rnacentral:rRNA from 1 species